CCAGACUCCUACGGGAGGCAGCAGUGGGGAAUAUUGCACAAUGGGGGGAACCCUGAUGCAGCGACGCCGCGUGAGUGAAGAAGUCAUUCGUGAUGUAAAGCUCUAUCAGCAGGGAAGAAAAUGACGGUACCUGACCAAGAAGCCCCGGCUAACUACGUGCCAGCAGCCGCGGUAAUACGUAGGGGGCAAGCGUUAUCCGGAUUUACUGGGUGUAAAGGGAGCGUAGGCGGCCAGGCAAGUCAGAAGUGAAAGCCCGGGGCUCAACCCCGGGACUGCUUUUGAAACUGCCAGGCUGGAGUGUCGGAGGGGUAAGUGGAAUUCCUAGUGUAGCGGUGAAAUGCGUAGAUAUUAGGAGGAACACCAGUGGCGAAGGCGGCUUACUGGACGAUCACUGACGCUGAGGCUCGAAAGCGUGGGGAGCAAACAGGAUUAGAUACCCUAGUA
rnacentral:rRNA from 1 species